GACGAACGCUGGCGGCGUGCUUAACACAUGCAAGUCGAACGGAAAGGCCCUGCUUUUGUGGGGUGCUCGAGUGGCGAACGGGUGAGUAACACGUGAGUAACCUGCCCUUGACUUUGGGAUAACUUCAGGAAACUGGGGCUAAUACCGGAUAGGAGCUCCUGCUGCAUGGUGGGGGUUGGAAAGUUUCGGCGGUUGGGGAUGGACUCGCGGCUUAUCAGCUUGUUGGUGGGGUAGUGGCUUACCAAGGCUUUGACGGGUAGCCGGACUGAGAGGGUGACCGGCCACAUUGGGACUGAGAUACGGCCCAGACUCCUACGGGAGGCAGCAGUGGGGAAUAUUGCACAAUGGGCGGAAGCCUGAUGCAGCAACGCCGCGUGCGGGAUGACGGCCUUCGGGUUGUAACCCGCUUUCGCCUGUGACGAAGCGUGAGUGACGGUAAUGGGUAAAGAAGCACCGGCUAACUACGUG
rnacentral:rRNA from 1 species